UAGGGUUUUUGAUCCUGGCUCAGAUUGAACGCUGGCGGCAUGCUUUACACAUGCAAGUCGAACGGCAGCACGAGUGCUUUGCACUUGGUGGCGAGUGGCGAACGGGUGAGUAAUACAUCGGAACGUAUCUUAGAGAGGGGGAUAACGCAUCGAAAGAUGUGCUAAUACCGCAUAAUCUCUGCGGAGAAAAGUAGGGGAUCGUAAGACCUUGCGCUUUNAGAGCGNCCGAUGUCUGAUUAGCUAGUUGGUGAGGUAAAGGCUCACCAAGGCANCGAUCAGUAGUUGGUCUGAGAGGAUGGCCAACCACACUGGGACUGAGACACGGCCCAGACUCCUACGGAAGGCAGC
rnacentral:rRNA from 1 species